CCCUAGCCCUGAUGGAAGCGAUAUCUCGCGAUUUAGAAAAACAAGGCUUUUUUGGCCGUAGUUUUUGUUAUCGAGAAUAUAGCGCACAGCAGGACAAAAC
rnacentral:sRNA from 1 species